GAUGAUGGAGAUAUACUUAUGGUGAUUCACUUCCUUCACAUUACUGUUAAGAAUGAUGCUGAAUUAUGGACCCAAACGAUGGAAAGGACAUCCUCUUCUUAUUGCUCUGUGCUACUAAAGUUGGAACUCGACAAGGCACUUGAAUUCAACGCACCAUCCUUUGAACUAAAAGCUGAUUUGAUGGUUGCUGCAGUAGCACUUGGGAUAAAAACAAAACAGAGGUGUU